rnacentral:tRNA from 1 species
AGCAGCGUGGCCUAGUGGAAAAAGCACAGGCCUGAGAGUCAUGGGACGUGGGUUCUAAUCCCAAUCCCUGCCA